CUGAGAAAACUUUUUUCCUCUUAAGCUAACAGUGACUUACAACAAUUUGGUAAAAUGAAUCUUUGCAAACAAAGGGAAACAUUUAUCAUUUUUGCCCUAGGUGAUCACUACAGAAUUUGGAAAUUCUUAAUACAACAUUUCUUAAAGAAUCAAAAAAGAAGGGCAAACAAGAAUAUAUAAAGCUAAAAGGAUACGUAUCUGUGCUAGACUGAGUUUCCAGCAUCUGCUUUGAAAAGAAUAUGUCCAGAUAGUCACUGCCUCCUUCAACCUGGGCCUGAGACUGAGACAUGUAGAACCAUGUGAGCCAAAUAUGCUCCAAACAAAUAACAGAACUUCAGCCUGAAG